GGGGGCGUAGCUCAAUUGGUUAGAGUGCUACCCUGUCACGGUAGAAGUUGCCGGUUCGAGUCCGGUCGUCCCCGCCA
rnacentral:tRNA from 1 species